rnacentral:rRNA from 1 species
UUAAGUUAUUAAGGGCGCACGGUGGAUGCCUUGGCACUAGAAGCCGAUGAAGGACGUUACUAACGACGAUAUGCUUUGGGGAGCUGUAAGUAAGCUUUGAUCCAGAGAUUUCCGAAUGGGGAAACCCAGCAUGAGUUAUGUCAUGUUAUCGAUAUGUGAAUACAUAGCAUAUCAGAAGGCACACCCGGAGAACUGAAACAUCUUAGUACCCGGAGGAAGAGAAAGAAAAUUCGAUUCCCUUAGUAGCGGCGAGCGAAACGGGAAGAGCCCAAACCAACAAGCUUGCUUGUUGGGGUUGUAGGACACUCUAUACGGAGUUACAAAGGACGACAUUAGACGAAUCAUCUGGAAAGAUGAAUCAAAGAAGGUAAUAAUCCUGUAGUCGAAAAUGUUGUCUCUCUUGAGUGGAUCCUGAGUACGACGGAGCACGUGAAAUUCCGUCGGAAUCUGGGAGGACCAUCUCCUAAGGCUAAAUACUCUCUAGUGACCGAUAGUGAACCAGUACCGUGAGGGAAAGGUGAAAAGCACCCCGGAAGGGGAGUGAAAUAGAACCUGAAACCGUGUGCUUACAAGUAGUCAGAGCCCGUUAAUGGGUGAUGGCGUGCCUUUUGUAGAAUGAACCGGCGAGUUACGAUUUGAUGCAAGGUUAAGCAGUAAAUGUGGAGCCGUAGCGAAAGCGAGUCUGAAUAGGGCGUUUAGUAUUUGGUCGUAGACCCGAAACCAGGUGAUCUACCCUUGGUCAGGUUGAAGUUCAGGUAACACUGAAUGGAGGACCGAACCGACUUACGUUGAAAAGUGAGCGGAUGAACUGAGGGUAGCGGAGAAAUUCCAAUCGAACCUGGAGAUAGCUGGUUCUCUCCGAAAUAGCUUUAGGGCUAGCCUCAAGUGAUGAUUAUUGGAGGUAGAGCACUGUUUGGACGAGGGGCCCCUCUCGGGUUACCGAAUUCAGACAAACUCCGAAUGCCAAUUAAUUUAACUUGGGAGUCAGAACAUGGGUGAUAAGGUCCGUGUUCGAAAGGGAAACAGCCCAGACCACCAGCUAAGGUCCCAAAAUAUAUGUUAAGUGGAAAAGGAUGUGGCGUUGCCCAGACAACUAGGAUGUUGGCUUAGAAGCAGCCAUCAUUUAAAGAGUGCGUAAUAGCUCACUAGUCGAGUGACACUGCGCCGAAAAUGUACCGGGGCUAAACAUAUUACCGAAGCUGUGGAUUGUCCUUUGGACAAUGGUAGGAGAGCGUUCUAAGGGCGUUGAAGCAUGAUCGUAAGGACAUGUGGAGCGCUUAGAAGUGAGAAUGCCGGUGUGAGUAGCGAAAGACGGGUGAGAAUCCCGUCCACCGAUUGACUAAGGUUUCCAGAGGAAGGCUCGUCCGCUCUGGGUUAGUCGGGUCCUAAGCUGAGGCCGACAGGCGUAGGCGAUGGAUAACAGGUUGAUAUUCCUGUACCACCUAUAAUCGUUUUAAUCGAUGGGGGGACGCAGUAGGAUAGGCGAAGCGUGCGAUUGGAUUGCACGUCUAAGCAGUAAGGCUGAGUAUUAGGCAAAUCCGGUACUCGUUAAGGCUGAGCUGUGAUGGGGAGAAGACAUUGUGUCUUCGAGUCGUUGAUUUCACACUGCCGAGAAAAGCCUCUAGAUAGAAAAUAGGUGCCCGUACCGCAAACCGACACAGGUAGUCAAGAUGAGAAUUCUAAGGUGAGCGAGCGAACUCUCGUUAAGGAACUCGGCAAAAUGACCCCGUAACUUCGGGAGAAGGGGUGCUCUUUAGGGUUAACGCCCAGAAGAGCCGCAGUGAAUAGGCCCAAGCGACUGUUUAUCAAAAACACAGGUCUCUGCUAAACCGUAAGGUGAUGUAUAGGGGCUGACGCCUGCCCGGUGCUGGAAGGUUAAGAGGAGUGGUUAGCUUCUGCGAAGCUAUGAAUCGAAGCCCCAGUAAACGGCGGCCGUAACUAUAACGGUCCUAAGGUAGCGAAAUUCCUUGUCGGGUAAGUUCCGACCCGCACGAAAGGCGUAACGAUUUGGGCACUGUCUCAACGAGAGACUCGGUGAAAUCAUAGUACCUGUGAAGAUGCAGGUUACCCGCGACAGGACGGAAAGACCCCGUGGAGCUUUACUGUAGCCUGAUAUUGAAAUUCGGCACAGCUUGUACAGGAUAGGUAGGAGCCUUUGAAACGUGAGCGCUAGCUUACGUGGAGGCGCUGGUGGGAUACUACCCUAGCUGUGUUGGCUUUCUAACCCGCACCACUUAUCGUGGUGGGAGACAGUGUCAGGCGGGCAGUUUGACUGGGGCGGUCGCCUCCUAAAAGGUAACGGAGGCGCUCAAAGGUUCCCUCAGAAUGGUUGGAAAUCAUUCAUAGAGUGUAAAGGCAUAAGGGAGCUUGACUGCGAGACCUACAAGUCGAGCAGGGUCGAAAGACGGACUUAGUGAUCCGGUGGUUCCGCAUGGAAGGGCCAUCGCUCAACGGAUAAAAGCUACCCCGGGGAUAACAGGCUUAUCUCCCCCAAGAGUUCACAUCGACGGGGAGGUUUGGCACCUCGAUGUCGGCUCAUCGCAUCCUGGGGCUGUAGUCGGUCCCAAGGGUUGGGCUGUUCGCCCAUUAAAGCGGUACGCGAGCUGGGUUCAGAACGUCGUGAGACAGUUCGGUCCCUAUCCGUCGUGGGCGUAGGAAAUUUGAGAGGAGCUGUCCUUAGUACGAGAGGACCGGGAUGGACAUACCUCUGGUGUACCAGUUGUCGUGCCAACGGCAUAGCUGGGUAGCUAUGUGUGGACGGGAUAAGUGCUGAAAGCAUCUAAGCAUGAAGCCCCCCUCAAGAUGAGAUUUCCCAACUUCGGUUAUAAGAUCCCUCAAAGAUGAUGAGGUUAAUAGGUUCGAGGUGGAAGCAUGGUGACAUGUGGAGCUGACGAAUACUAAUCGAUCGAAGACUUAAUCAA